rnacentral:rRNA from 1 species
ACCUCGAUGUCGGCUCAUCACAUCCUGGGGCUGAAGUAGGUCCCAAGGGUAUGGCUGUUCGCCAUUUAAAGUGGUACGCGAGCUGGGUUUAGAACGUCGUGAGACAGUUCGGUCCCUAUCUGCCGUGGGCGCUGGAGAAUUGAGGGGGGCUGCUCCUAGUACGAGAGGACCGGAGUGGACGCAUCACUGGUGUUCGGGUUGUCAUGCCAAUGGCACUGCCCGGUAGCUAAAUGCGGAAGAGAUAAGUGCUGAAAGCAUCUAAGCACGAAACUUGCCCCGAGAUGAGUUCUCCCUGAGACUUUAAGUCUCCUGAAGGAACGUUGAAGACGACGACGUUGAUAGGUCGGGUGUGUAAGCGCAGCGAUGCGUUGAGCUAACCGAUACUAAUGAACCGUGAGGCUUAACCUU